UACGAAGGGUGCAAGCGUUGUCCGGAAUCACUGGGCGUAAAGCGCACGUAGGCGGCUUUGUAAGUCGGAUGUGAAAUCUUAUGGCUUAACCAUAAAAGUGCAUCCGAAACUGCAGUGCUUGAGUACUUAAGAGGAUCGCGGAAUUCCCGGUGUAGAGGUGAAAUUCGUAGAUAUCGGGAGGAACACCAGUGGCGAAGGCGGCGAUCUGGGAAGAUACUGACGCUGAGGUGCGAAAGCGUGGGGAGCAAACAGG
rnacentral:rRNA from 1 species